AGAGAGCAGCGUUUGGUCAGACCAUAGAUAAUAUAGAAGACAGCGCGCUAGCAUAGCUAGUCUAUGUAUAUUUAUGGUCAGCACGUCUGGUAGCAUCUCUGGCUGCUGUUGAUCUUGUUUUUGGAGUAAAACACGGUGGAAGCUGAAUUAGUGAGGAUGACUCCCGCUCCUGUCAUCUCUAAGCUCCUCACACAUCUUUACCUGCACAUGAGGAAAAUCACUCCUGUAGAAUGCAGAUGUUCAGAGGGAGAUGAUGCCACAUCUGGUCCAGCUGAUGGAAGGUCUUGAAGUUCUCUGACUGGCCUGGACUGAAGAUGGUCGUCUCACUGGAUUUAAGGUUCAGAUGCUCAGUAACAAACUCCACCAAUGAGCCAACAGGGAAGCUUUAAGUUUAUUAAAUGUUGCUAUGAAGGUUUCUCUAUUUUUCUUUGUGAAUGCAAUGUGCUCCAACUGAAAGUUGAAUUAGAACUUAGAAGUAAAUCCUUCCAUCUGAAAGGAUUUAGUUGCAUUAAUAACCUCAUAACAUUCUAAUUUUUAUUCCAGUGUUGGCUGGAAAUAGAAUCUCUGUAUUGAUUCAGGUAAAAACUGAACUUCACAGCAUGUUGAAGCAAAACAACCAGAUGAAAACUGUGAUGGUGUUGGAUUGUCAGACCGUAAUGUUGCAGCUCAAAGCAGCUUUUCUAGCUCAGUUCAUUCUGACAUUCAGCUAUGAAUCAACACAGCAGAUGGUGAUUCAUGCUGUGGAAGUCUCACAUCUCCUGAUUUAAUGGAGCUGCUUUGCACUUUUUACACUGUUUAUUCACCAACACUUUAUUUAAUAAAAGUCCCAUCUAGUUUUUAUGAGGAAUGUGAUGUUUUAAUUUCUCUGUGAAUAACUGCAGUCUAAUGCAACAGCUGGAGUUGUAACAUCUGUCCUGAUAUUGAUCAUGAAGUAUUGAUCAGAAUACUUAUGGUUAGCAGUCAUCCCUGAAGUUUUACAUUAAAAUCUUUACUUGUGUUGUGAACUUUGGUAAGAAGCAGAAACUUUUGCGUUUCCAUGGAUACAUGAGUGUUAAAUUCUGUCUAUGUUUUUAUUUUGGGAUAUGCAGUCCAGUUCCAGAAUAUGGAGGAAUUUAGUCUCAAUCACAGACAACAAAUAUCUGAAAGUCGGGUUAUUGUUGUUUAUCAGCACAAUACAAAAAGAUUAAUGUUAGAAAUAUUCCAGUUAAGACUCUAGAAUAUCAUGAUUUAUGUAAAUUUACCUCAAUAAUAUGAAUGUUCAGGUUAAGAUUGUACAGUGACAUUUAUUAUGCAAGUUUAGCUGAUUAAAGUUUAUGACUCUGCACUAAAAUAUUAUUUAAAUUGACAUCAUUAUUAUAAUAUUUAGGGUCAGAACCUACAGUAUUGAGAUUAAGAAAUCAAAUAUUCUAUAAAAUGUAAAUACACUGAACUCAUUUGGAUAUAUUUAAGUGAGAGACUACAAUAUUAUUUGACACAAAUCUAUCUAAAUCAAAAUUUUAAUAAUUUUCACACCAAACAUUUACUGGACUGAUUUAAAUGUUAAAAUCACUCCUUUCUAAUCCUCUGCUGUACGUUCAAACCUGAGGCCUUAAAUAGAAACACACAAGUAUCUGAUUGAAGGAACUUCUGCAGAGUCCUGGUUCCAGAACAUGAUGAUAGAAUUAUAGACAAACUUUAACAAAAGCUGCCUGAGAGUUUGCAGGUUUUUAUGUUGGAUUUCUUCAGUAAUUUAAUGAGCGUUAUCAGCAAUAAUCAAGUGUUCAUUUGAUGAACUUGAUUUCCUAAAACAUACAGAAUUGGAGCUCAUAUCUUUGGCAGCUGUAAAGUUUCUGCUCCUUCAAAGUUCACAACACAAUGAAUGAAUUCCUAAAACACUCUCAAUGCUGGAGAGCGUUUGUGAUGCUGAAGCAGUGACCAGUUUUUCUGUUUCUUCUCUGGAGAUGCACAAUGAGGGACGUCUGCAGAGACUGAGAAAGAGUCUCACCACAUCCUGACAUCAGGAAAAAGACUUUAUUGAAGACUACAAUGAGAAAAACUAUCCAGACAGCAGACAGCAUGCAUUCAAGGUGAGCUCUGAACAUUUGAUCUGAAACAGGAAUUCAAUAACUGCAGCAUGAGCUUCAUUUCAGUCUGUAGCUGCUGAAUUCAUGGAUGAAUCAUCUGGCACUAGAGAGGAAGAUCAUCAAACAGCCACGUCAGCUGAUGGAGGUCCAAGAGUCUCACCAAACAAACAACCUACAGAGUGAAGACCUUGAAUCUGGUUGGACGGCCUCCUAUUCAGCCACAUGUGUGAACAAAUGCCUCUAAGCUGAUUUGUUUUCUAAAAUAAAUCUAGUUUGAGUCCUAA